rnacentral:rRNA from 1 species
AGUGAACGCUGGCGGUAGGCCUAACACAUGCAAGUCGAACGGCAGCACAGUAAGAGCUUGCUCUUACGGGUGGCGAGUGGCGGACGGGUGAGGAAUACAUCGGAAUCUACUUUUUCGUGGGGGAUAACGUAGGGAAACUUACGCUAAUACCGCAUACGACCUACGGGUGAAAGCAGGGGAUCUUCGGACCUUGCGCGAUUGAAUGGGCCGAUGUCGGAUUAGCUAGUUGGCGGGGUAAAGGCCCACCAAGGCGACGAUCCGUAGAUGGUCUGAGAGGAUGAUCAGCCACACUGGAACUGAGACACGGUCCAGACUCCUACGGGAGGCAGCAGUGGGGAAUAUUGGACAAUGGGCGCAAGCCUGAUCCAGCCAUACCGCGUGGGUGAAGAAGGCCUUCGGGUUGUAAAGCCCUUUUGUUGGGAAAGAAAAGCAGCAGGUUAAUACCCCGCUGUUCUGACGGUACCCAAAGAAUAAGCACCGGCUAACUUCGUG